ACCUAUAUUACUCCACCUCCUUUACCUAUUCUUUCUUUUUAACAUUUUAAAUAGGGAUAUUUGAUGAUAAGUUCCUUUUAUAAUUCUGGGGAUUUCCCCACAUGUAUUUCUUAUAGAAAAAAAAGCACGAGCAACCUUGUAACAAAUUUUGCCAGUUAUUCCAUUCAAACCUAAUUGAGAAACCAAAUCGGUUUGUAUCACUCCCAUAAUCUACAGAAACGUGGACUUUCAAUUAUUUUAAAUUUUUCAUUACUAUGAAAAGGUUUGGUGAUUAUUUUGACUUUCUAUUUCUACCGUCUUUUUUACAUACACAAGCUAUAAGGGUCAUUUAGUCAUGAGUGAGCAACAAGCAAAAAUGCAGCACAUCUCAUAUCUCCUGGAUGUUUGAGUUGAUGUUAUGAAGAUUUAGGACAUUUUUAAGUGUUCUAGGAGGCUAGUUUUAAGUUGGCCAAGAUGAAGAAAAAAAAUGUAGAAGACCUCUUGAGGAUGUCAGGAAGUGAAAAGAAUAAUUUAAAGAGGGAUAAGAAGUUCUUGUUUGGAGUAGAAUGUAAAGGAAGAUCCCACUAAGUCGAUUAAUCGCCUCGCCAACGACUUCUCUGUGGGCCAUCAGAGGAGGUCUAUAAGCACAACUUGAGAUUAGUUUAUUUCAUACAAAGACACCCCGCCAUCUUCUGACAGACGACAUGAAAACCCAGAGACUCGAUAGGUGCAAGAAAAAUCCUCACGUUGAUCAAGGCAAAUAGGUCAAUUGUGAAAGUUUUCUCGGACAAGAAAUUUUUUCACAGUUGGUCCAUUUCACAACAGCCUGAACGAUGAUUAGUUUGCGGAAACAAAAGAAAAGGUCCAAGGGAUAUACCACAUCAAAUCGUCCUCUGUUUUGUGGCCCCUGAAAGAAAGAAGAUUCCUCCAUCUUACAAUGGCUUAAGACCACCUACCGGUAAGGUAACAACAUAUGUACUCAGGAUGGCUCCCCUUUCACACAUCCGCUAUGUGCCAAAAGUUAUGCGAAGAUAACAUGGAUUAAUUCUGGUCCACAUAGAUAUUGCCCCCUUCCUCUUCAGAUUUGAACCCACUGGGCUUUUCUAUAUAGAGCACUUUGUAGAGGGAAACUAACAGGACCUCACACCUAAAUGUCCACUCUCUGAAGUCCUCCAUAAUGGCUGCAUGAGAUAACUUGUCCAAUAAAUUUUUUAUCAACUCCUAUAUGUCCUUCAGGCGACAUGUAAAGGCUGUGAUUGAUAAUAAAGGUGAUCUUAUUGAGUGAAAAAAGUUUUGCAAAAAGCUUGUUUAUAUUAUUUUUUUACUAAUAUUACUAAUAUAUGUGUAAAUCCAUCUCUCGAGUCCAUGUUUUGCUGUCCUACCCUUUAUCUGCGCUUGAGCCAAUCUCCAUAUUACAUUUCAAUCAUUACAACUGGUAAUUCACUUUCUCUACCUGCAGGGUAUUAAAAUUAGUGUUUUCUAUCUCUUUAUAUCUAGUGGUUGGUAAAUGAAGGAGAGUGUGAUGGUUGUGUUUGUUACUAAGAUUACAUUUCAUAAAAUUAGGACACAUAGACCUUUUAUGUCCAACUUCUGGACAUCGAAAACAAAAUUUUCUUUUCGCUAUGAUAUAAUGACGCUCUUUUACAGAUAAUAUAACAAAUUUCUUACAUUUCGUCAAGUCAUAACAGUUAUUGCCUCAGCCACAAUCAUACCCUAUCUCCACGGCUUCUUUAUUGAACAAAGACGAUAGUGAGUGAUGUUGUGUUCUCAUAUCGUUUCUCUUUCAACAUGUAUACGUAUUUUUCCUCAGAAAUAAGACGAGUUCGUCUACAUUGUAACCCUUCUUCAUUGUUUUAAAUAAUCUCUGAGUUCAGCCAAUGAGUUCUACUAAUAUCUGGAGUGGACCAAGGGUAAAUCCCUUAAACUUCAUGUGGGGCGAAGUGUAUCCUUUAUACUUAAAACUCAAAUAAGCAUAACCCUUUUUAUUUCAUCAGCAUCACAAGUUGCAUGCUCUAAUUAAUAUCUCUUCCAUGACGACCACAUUUUAGAAGAAAAAAAAAGUGUUGCCUUAAAAAAACUGGUGCAGAGUGGCUGUUUCAACUAGGGAUUUUUACAGACCUUUAAGAUUUUUCUAGAAGUCAAUUACGAAAAAAAUACCAAAAGUAAAGUUCAGAUAGAACAUUUUAUCUGUUAAAGCUAGGAAUCAUCUUUUUGGCAAAAUAGGUAUAAUAUAUAUAAUGUAAAUCUUUAAUACAGAAUUAAGAGAUGAUCGAAGGGAUGAUCAAAUGGUGAUUAAUAAUAUUAAUUUUAUAAUAGAUAGUAGUGUAUCCGUGCAAUUUUCAUUUCAUCACUGAGUAUUAUUAAUUAAUUUUACUUUAUAUAGUAAUAGUAUAAUUAGUGGUGUAGUGGAAAAAAAACAUCCUAUUUCUGAUAAAUAUGAAAAAGUAAUUAAUAAUUAGCUCUUCACAUUCACAAUAAGAUUUAGUUAGUGUAUUGGCUUCUCAUUUGCUAAUUUUGCUGACCGAAUUAAAUCUGAAUUUUACAGUAAGAUUUGUUCUUACAUUUUUCUAUUUUCUUCUUAUACCCGUAUAAUUUUUUUAUGCAAUAUUCAUUGAAAUGUUGGAAUAGAAAAUUAAAUUCUAGAAAGUAUUUUUCUUAGAGAAUGUCCCUUAUCAUUUUGUUAAGCAGUCACUAAAUUACUAUUAUUUUACUUAUAAACACAACAAAACAUUUUUGGCACACGUAAUAAAAAAUUUUUAAAUUAUAUUUUGUGUAAUAAUACAUAUUAAGUCAUGGACAAAAUGGAGUUGCGCCUAUAAAAUAUCAAAGAUUUUCUGGUAUAUGUAUUAGUUUGUGCCAUAAAACCAACUUUAAUCUAACAAAAAUCUGAACUAAUAACCCCAUGAAUUUAUUAUAAAUAAGAAUACCCUGGAAUAUUUUUUUUGUGCGUUGGAAUUCGGAGGGCUCCUUCCUGUCGAAGCUUCCGCCCAGUUAUAAAACUCCUCCAAAAAUGGUCAAAAUCAGAUGGAAUUUUUUUAAUUCAUAAAUGUGUUUAUGAAAAGAAUAACUUAUUUUAUACAAAUUCAAUAAACACUUAAAAAACAUAUUCAUUUAGUUAAUUCAUUUAUGGACUCCGUGUGCAAUAGUAAAUAUAAUAAUACAAUGCGUGUUAUUUGCAAAUUCUUAUUUUUGACAAAAAAAAAGUAGUGGAAACUAUUAUUUUUCUUGUACAAAGUACAUAAUAUCAGUUGCAAUUCAGUAUAAAUAAUAAAGAAAAACAUUUUUAUUUGUAAAAUGCUCAAAAGGGAAUAGCAUUUUCUAAGAUUUUAUUACUCGUCCCUUCUAACUAAAAAAUGAUAUAUGUAUUUCUUAUUUAAGAUAAUAUACGCAAAUAUCCACUUUAGUCCCUACAUAUCAAGCAAUAUGCUAAUUCCAACUAGCUUAUAAACUCAAAAUUUAUUAAUAACAUUACUUAUUUAUUGCGGAAUUAAAAAUCUGUUCUUUGUUACAUGAAACUUUUAUAUUCUUUCGUUAAAAAAAUAUUGAUAUAUCAUUAAACACAAAUUAGUUUCUGUUAUUGUGACAUCCUAUAAAGAAAAGUCGUAUAACUUUUUUCAAAAUCAAAAAAAGAAGGACCAAUAGAGCAAAAGGAUAAAAAAAAGGAAUAAUGGCGAACAAAAUUAGCUUUUUAAUCAAAUGAAAUCAAUUUGGAUUAUGCAAGUCCUUUAAGUAAUGAAGUAAGUGUAACUGAGGAACUGAAAUCCAAGAAUCAAGCUAAGUUUUAGUCUUUUGACUGCAGCUUAUGGCAUUGCAUUAUUAAGAGAUAUGAAGCUUGGAACUCCAAAAUUUGUUUCCAUUACGAAGUUUAAAAAUAUAGAAUUAAAAUUGAGCAAAUGUAUAAGGAAAAAAAAGAAUUCUUAUGUUUCAAGUUAGAUAUCUGCAAAGAUCUUACGAAAUGUCUACUGGGUUCUGAAAAGCCUGAAACUGGAGGAGCUACAUAUUUCUGUAAAUGUAGAGCCUAUUGCAAAUUAAUAGAGUUUUUUAAUAGCUUGAUCUGGAACUCCUAAUGUAUUCUGAUCAAUUGAUAGUGAUGGGACCUCAGUUAAUAAAAGAUAAAAAAGGUGGUAUUAUUAGACUUAUGGAACAAAAUUAAAUGCUAUUAUAAUGGGUUAUUUGCCUUCUUCAUUUCAAUGAAUUGCAUUUAAAAAAGCUUUUUGAAUUUUAUGACGAAAAGUUAAGUGGACUAAAAACUUUUAAAGGAGUUAGAAACCCUUGUAUCAGACUUCUCUUGUCAUAAGGAUCCAAUAAAACUUGAAGCAAUAAAAAUAUGUGUUUCGAUUGUUACUGUGUCUCAAAAGAACUAGUUUAGCAGGAAUCUAAAGUAAUUUUUGGAAAUUUACUUAAUUGUUCAAAAUGGACCAGAUUCGGUUGCCAGCUUAUUUCUCAAAAACAUCCAGGGACGGUUCACAAUGCUAGAUGGAUCACACGAGCAGAAAAUUUCUGGAAUAUUUACUUUACACUGAUAUCUCUAAUUAUUCUAAAAAUGUGGAAAGAGGUGUUACAACUACUACUAUAGAAUCCAGAAUAACAGCAGAUGAACUGAAAAGACACCAAUUGAUUGCUAAUGAUGCAAGGUCAAAAUUGUCUAAAUAUAAAUUCAAAAGUAAGACUUACCAAUCUUAGCUCAAGAUAAGUAGUAAAUCCCUACAGUUAAUUUAAUUACAUUAUAUAGAUAUUUAUUUCAAUU
rnacentral:lncRNA from 1 species